rnacentral:tRNA from 2 species
GGCAACCUGGCCGAGCGGUCUAAGGCGCCAGGUUAAGGCUAGCACCUUGACGAAUAUCCUGGUCUCUUCGGAGGCGAGAGUUCGAAUCUCUCGGUUGUCA